CUGCAUGUCUGGAAAACGGACUCUGACAUUGCCCCAGGCAGAGAAACCACCAUCCCUAUCUGGAAAAUCAAAUCCUUCUUAAGAGAUGGUACAGAUAUCCAGCCAGAAGAACUGACUGACCUAAGUACAAAGGGGGAUCUAAAGCUGCCCUCUGCACAAUCAUCAGUAGGAUGACUAGCAAAUUGGAA